rnacentral:rRNA from 1 species
GACGAACGCUGGCGGCGUGCCUAAUACAUGCAAGUAGAACGCUGAAGGAGGAGCUUGCUCUUCUGGAUGAGUUGCGAACGGGUGAGUAACGCGUAGGUAACCUGCCUGGUAGCGGGGGAUAACUAUUGGAAACGAUAGCUAAUACCGCAUAAGAGUAGAUGUUGCAUGACAUUUGCUUAAAAGGUGCAAUUGCAUCACUACCAGAUGGACCUGCGUUGUAUUAGCUAGUUGGUGAGGUAACGGCUCACCAAGGCAACGAUACAUAGCCGACCUGAGAGGGUGAUCGGCCACACUGGGACUGAGACACGGCCCAGACUCCUACGGGAGGCAGCAGUAGGGAAUCUUCGGCAAUGGACGGAAGUCUGACCGAGCAACGCCGCGUGAGUGAAGAAGGUUUUCGGAUCGUAAAGCUCUGUUGUAAGAGAAGAACGAGUGUGAGAGUGGAAAGUUCACACUGUGACGGUAUCUUACCAGAAAGGGACGGCUAACUACGUGCCAGCAGCCGCGGUAAUACGUAGGUCCCGAGCGUUGUCCGGAUUUAUUGGGCGUAAAGCGAGCGCAGGCGGUUAGAUAAGUCUGAAGUUAAAGGCUGUGGCUUAACCAUAGUACGCUUUGGAAACUGUUUAACUUGAGUGCAAGAGGGGAGAGUGGAAUUCCAUGUGUAGCGGUGAAAUGCGUAGAUAUAUGGAGGAACACCGGUGGCGAAAGCGGCUCUCUGGCUUGUAACUGACGCUGAGGCUCGAAAGCGUGGGGAGCAAACAGG